UUUAAAAGCAUAGUCGUUCCUUGGCUUUGGCUGAGUUCACCCUCACGUGGUGGUUUAGCGUGUAGUGAACUCUAAAGCUUUACCUUAGGAGAUACCCUCUGCGCCUCUCGUACUGAGGUAAAAUAUAAUCGGGUUUACCGUGCCUCUCUCUAAUAGGCAGGUCCAUGAAAACCCACCACUGCAGUGACUAAUCAAUAUCCCACCAAAUCAAUAAAAGUUUUGAUAGCAUGACAUGGCAAUUAUAUUACUACCAGCCUGUUAAGGCAUAACAAACAGUUCAUACAAUUUCAACACAAUUUCCAAUUUAGCCAUUCAUGCCAAUAUCACCAUAAGCCAUUCAAUUCAAACCAUAAAUUUACAACACAAUCAAACAGUCUCCAAUUACUCAAUUUCUAAAAUCAUCAUUCAAUUUCAAAAUGAUUUAUAAAACUCAUUUCAUUUAAUCACAUUUUACUUAUAAAACAGAAAGAUUUACCAUUUAAACUCAUUUUUCUAUAAAAUCACAAAAACAAAUAAAAACUACUUUAGAUAAUUAAAAUGAUAAUAAGGUUACUCACAAUAUCGAGAGUCGAAGUACUCCUAGUCUCAAUUUUCAGGUACAAUUUUCUUACCCUUAUCGGAAGUUUCACCACCUAAACAUAAUGCACAACAAGCAAUUUACUAUAUUUGUACUAAACCGUUAUAAAACUAAUUUAGGCUUUAUAUGAAUGCAUGAAAUGGGAUGGGAAAUGUUCGGUUUAUUAUCUAAAUAUGGUGUUCUACGUAGCUUCAAUUAUGUAUCGAAAUAAAAUGGUAUUGGCCUAAUUCGAUCUAUACACCGAUUAAUUGGCCAAUACAUCCAAUUCAACUCCAAUUAACUUCAUUCCACUUCCAACACUCCAUGUAAAACCCGACCCUAUAAACACGUCAUGACAUACAUGCACUAAGUAGCAUGUUAUUAUGCUAGAAAAGUCCUAAGAAUAGACGAAACCCGGUAUUGUACCUAACGGUACACUUGAGUUAAUUUAACCUCGAACUAGUUCAAAUAGGAAUCGUAGAAUGAAAUUUGAUAUUUUACAGUCCAAGAAUGACUAAAAAUGAUUGUUCAGAGUUCGAGGGUUCAUUUGGAAAAAAAUUGAAAAUUUUGAUGUUUAGGGAUAAAAUCGUCAUUUUGCCACCUAAGAUAAUAAUUUGAUCAUGGAGUGAAAUUUUUGACCAAGAUUAACUAUUUGGAGUAUAAUUUAAUGAUAAGAAGUGAAAAAUUUCAAUUUCGGUAAUUUUUGAAACAUAGGGGCAAAACGGUAAUUUUGUCACCUUGGGGUAAAAACCGUAAUUUUCAUCACCCAAAACUUGUCAAAAUCAUACGAUUUACUUAUCUUUGGUAUGAAUAACUAUGGUAUUUUAAGUGGUGAAAAAUUGAAGUUUAAAAAACCAAAUUUUAAAAACGGGCCAACGAGAAAGUGACACAUGGCACUUUUUAAUGAUUUAAUAUUAUUUUAAUGAAAAUUCAGCCCAUUUAAACCCCAUAUUAAGUGAUGGCCGGCCAUAAGGAGAGAACAAGAGAGAAAUAGAGAGGAAAGGAAGAAAAGCGAAAAACCAAAGGAAAACUAGAAAAUUCAAAGGGGAAAUCGCGUUUUUCAUCCGUUUACAUGUCUAACGGUAAGAUUUUUUGACUUUAGCUUGAUUUCUACCUUUUCUAUGCCUUUAUUUUCAUUUAGCAUGCUUGAGGAGAGAGAUCAAAAAGUGAAACCAAGGGCUGGCCGAAUUUCAAGGGGAGAGAUUUUGAAAUUUUUAAGUUUUGAUUCUUAGUUAAAUUAGUAGUUUUAGUUAGUUAAAUGUGUAUAGAAAUCAAAUUGGGUAAGAAAGCAUAAAAUUCUCACAAUACCCACCCUUGGCCGAAUAUGCAUUGAUGUACAAUGAUGAUGAACUGAUUUUUAUUCUAAGAGAAAUGAAGAGAAAAUGAUGAAAAAUGGUUAAAUGUGAUAGAAAAACAAAGUGAAAAAUUAACCAAGUAAAUGUCUCAUUUUUGACCGAAUUUUCCAAGAAGGAAAGUGAGCUGAUUUUUGUGAUUUUAGAAGGUUAUUGGCUGAUAUUUAAUGGUUAGAAAUGUUGGAGAGAAAAUGGGACAAUUUAGAGCUAAAAUGGAGCGCGUUAGCAAUUUAACGGGUAAAGUGCAAAAAAUAGGUUAAUACCGCGUUUAAGCCGUUUUAGGCUAUUGCAUUUCAUACCAUGCAUUAGUAUAGGAUUUAAGUCAAUUAUAUAGUGAUUUAGCAUCAAUGUGGUGAAUUGGAUAAAUUUUGCAAUGUGUUUAGGAGGAGAGCCUUCCGGUAAAGGCAAAGAAGUCAUACCCCGACGAACAGUGAUCGGGGCACCUAAAAAGCAAUUAGUUUAUACAAACGGUGAGUAAACUUAUUAUUAUUGUAAAUUAUCUAGAGUUUAUUUUUAAAUGCUCUUCAUGGAUUUUAUGAAAUGAAAAUGAGAUUAAAAUAGAAUUUUUGAUGUUUUAGAGAUAAAUGUGACAAAUAAAAAUAUAUUUGUGUUGAUUAUGAAAUUGAGUAAUUGGAGGCUGUCAAUUAUUUUGAAAUAUAUAUUUUCCUAUGAAUGGCUUAUCAUAUAUGAGUAUAUGUGGCUAUAUGUUAUAAUUGCAUUGGAAAUUUAUGUAAGUUGUCUUUUAAUAUGCAGGUUAGGUAAAUAAAUAAAAGCCACAUUAUACUGUCGAAAUUUUAUUAAAAUUGGUGGGUUUAGUCACUGCAGUGACGGAUUUCUAUGGAUUGCCUAUUAGAGGGGCACGAUAAACCCGGUUAUAUAGUUGCUCCGGUAGUAGAGGCGAGAAGGGUAACUCCCGGGGUAGUGUUAGAGCUCACUUCACAUCGAACUCCUACGUGAAUGUGUAACUCGGCCAACGCCAAGGAACAACUUGUUUUAAAAAUAAAAAUGUGUUUCACGUGUAAAUAUCUUAACAACCUUGACAGACUCGGUUAGAUGCCUCGGCCAAGGUAUCCCCGAAGAUUAGUUUUGGCUUGAGCCUUAUUUUUAAUAAAAGUCAGAAGCCUUAACAACUGUUUUGGUAAAUUACAAAUAUUUUAUGAUUUAAGAAAUAAAUUGAAAACCUUAUGAAAUGGUUUGUAAUUUGUUGUUUAAACUUGCCUCUAUGUUACUCGCCUUUAAAUAUUUAUGAUAAUGUCUGUUUACUCAUUAGGAUUGCGAAAUCUCACCCACCUCCUUUUCAAAUAUUUCAGGCCAGUGGUAGCUUAUAGAUACCGAUUUUGUCGAGGAUUCCAGUUGACCCCUCUAUCUCACAGACAAUAGGUUACUAUCACCAACACUUGUUGUAUUUAGGGGCCACAUGUCAUUGUAAUUAUUAUUGUACAUUAUAACUUUGUAAAUUAUUAUAUGUAUGAAUUUAUUGUACUUUCACAUUACAAAAGAUUUUUACACGUGUUUCUAUAAAUAUUAUUUUAUAUAAAAAUAUUAUAUUUAAUCAAUAUUUUGAAUAGUAAUAUUUGUCUAUAAAUCCUUUUAAAAUAAUUUUGUCUUUUGAUUUACUUGAGCCGAAAAUGACUGAAAAUUGUUUAAAACUUAUAUGUAAGCCUUGCGAGGUUCCGAUUGGUAUUCCGGGUAAUGAGUAUCAAUUGGGACAUCGCGACGGUUGUCAUGGGCCCGAGGGAGGUUCCGGGUCAUGACAAUUCAGUUGGUAUCAGAGCAAAGGAAAAGAUAACCCUAUUCUUGAGAACUCUCGCACAUGAUCUAUGGCGAAGUAUGACUCUCCGCCCAGGAGCUUGGAAGAUGAGGGAAGGGACUGCUUUACACUUGGGUGGGAGUGAAGUACACCUCUUGCCGAGUGCUCUGAUAGGUACCAUUGAAUGCCGCCGGUGUCCAGAGGGGUGGAAGAAUUUAAUUGGUAUUAGAGCUUUUGGUUUAAAAGCUUAUGGUUUUGAAAGAAGUUUUUUAUUUUUAAAGUUCUUGGAUUCAAAGUUAUUUUAAAAUAAUUUACAAUGUCAGUGUGGCCCAGUUAAGAUUAGUUAGUUGCAUGCAGUUGCAUACAGAGUCUUAAGUCGUCUAAACCAAUUUCGUUCUUUCUGUAGAUCAUUAUGCCUCCUCGACGUGAGCUACCACCUAUCACUAGAUCUAUCGGUAGGGGAAGAGGUCACCCUAGACAGAGUCGGUCGAAUUCCAUAGAAAAGGAGUCGGCUACAUCUUCUUUUAGAGCAGUUCCUACUGCUGAGUCUACUGACAUUCCUAUACCUCCUCCACUACCUGUUGCUGCUCCUGGCAUACCUGCCAUGUCACCCGAGGCAGCUCAGGCAUUAGCGAUUUUUCUCGCUACUCUUACGAGUCAAGCUCAGGCUGGUUCAGUUUCACCCGUUGUUUCCCCUGUAACAGCCCCAGUACCACCACCUCCUAUUUCACCCUAAACACCGGACAUCUCCAUUUCUAAGAAAUUGAAAGAAACUAGACAGUUAGGUUGCGUCUCGUUUACUAAUGAGUUGGAUACGACCGCAGCUAGGGAUUAGGUUAUUCAAGUAUCGGAGACACUGGCAGAUAUGGGAUUAGAUGAUGAGAUGAAAUUGAAGGUGGUUACACGGUUAUUUGAUAAGAGAGCCCGUACUUGGUGGAGUUCAGUAAAGUCUCGCUCUUCUAUACCGCUGGCUUGGAUGGAUUUCCUCCAAGAGUUCGAUGGUCAGUACUACACCUAUUUCCAUCAGAAAGAGAAAAAGAGAGAAUUUCUGAGCUUGAAACAAGGGAACAUGACCAUUGAAGAGUAUGAAACUCACUUUAACGAGCUGACGCUUUAUGUACCUAAGUUGGUGAGAUUGGAGCAAGACCAAGUAAACUACUUUAAAGAGGGAGGUUCCGGGUCGUGACACUCCAAGUCAUCAAUUACAAGUUAAAUAAUAUGUAAUAUCACAAAAACCCAUCAUCAAUAUCUUCCUUGUAAAAUUCGGCCAUUGAAGGUUUAAUGUAGAACAUGUAAUUUUUCAUGCUUGAUUUUUACACCCUACAUCAUAAAACAACUAAAAACACCUAAAUAGCAUGAAAUUCAUCAAAGUCCAUUAUCCAAUUUCUCUCUUGAAAAUUUCAGCCAAGGACUGUGGGUGAAGGGCAUGAAAUUUCUUGCUUGUUUUUCAUGCUAAACAUCACCAAACAACUAAAAACACUAAGAUACCUUGAAAUCUAACCAAAUAAAUCAUCAAAUCUUCUCUCCCUAAAUUCGGUCAGCCAUGAAUCCUUCAUGAGAUCUUGAAUUUUAACCAUGGUAAUUGAAAAAGAAUGCAUAGGAAAGGUAGAUCACAAGCUAGAAUUAAGAAAUUUUACCUUUACUUGCUUAAUUCCUUGAAAUCCAAUGAAUUUUCUCUUGAUUUUCUUCUCUAGGGUUUGUUCUAUGCUUUUUGCCUUUUGUUCUUGCCUUGGCCGACCAAGAGAAAUGAGAUGGGAGAGUUUUAGUUGUGUUUAUAAAGGAAAAUAUAAUAAUAUUAAAGCUUGACACUUGUCACCAUGUAAUUGGUCCAUACAUAAAACUUAAUAAUUAAGCAUUUCUUCUCCACCACAUAAAAUCCCUCAAUUAUCCAAAAUAUAAAAUGAAUUUCAUGGGUUUGACAAGUGUCAAAGUGGUGCAAAAUUCCAAAAAUUCUAAUUACCUCCUUAUGGACACGUGAAAUGACCUUUUUGCCCUUAUGUUCGAAAAAUUAUCGAAAUUAAAAUUUUUCACUUCUCAAGCUCAAAUUAUGUUCCAAAAUGGCAAACUAGAUCAAAAUUUCAUCCACCAUCCCAAAUUUGCCCUCGGGUGGAAAAAUGACCAUUUUACCCCUACAUUAUGAAAAUUCCAAUUUAACUCCAAAUCAAUCCCCGAACUCUAAAUCACCAUAUUAAGUCAUUCUAAAAUUCAAUAACUCUUAAUUGCAUCUUAAAAUCUUUAUUUGAACUAGUUCAAGGCUUAAAUCAACUUAGUUGUACCACUAGGUACACUACCGACUUUUGACGAUUUUUCCAAUGUAUUCAAGUAUGCAAGCAUGUUGUCAAAGACAUGAAUGACAUGGUAAGUAUAUUAUAGGGCUGGGCUUGACAGCAUUGUCCCCCUUAAAAUAAAAUUUUGAUCGAACUCGGAGAAAAGGUAGGGGUAUUGUCUUCUCAUUUGAUGCUUGACUUCCCAUGUUAUCUCCUCCAUACGGGCAUUCUUCCACAACACUUUAACCAUUGGAAUGCUCUUGUUCCUUAAUACUCGAUCCUUUCGAUCUAUAAUACGUACAGGCUGCACCUCGAACUUUAAAUCUUCGUGCAACUCAAUCAAAGGCGUCUCAAAGAUAUGGGAGGGAUCUGGUACAUACUUCUUCAGCAUCGAGACGUGAAAGACGUUGUGAAUCUAAUCCAACUCUGGGGGUAACUCCAAUCUAUAUGCCACUAGCCUAAUCCUUUCAAUAACACGAAAGGGUCUAAUGUAUCUCGAAUUGAGCUUUCCUCACUUUGCGAACCGGAUCACACCUUUCAUUGUCCAACAAGAUACCAGAAUUUACCACAAUAGUAAUUUCAAAUAAAACUUAAUAUCUCAAAGUAUUCAAAUUAUUACCUUUUCAACGAAAGACCUUAAGAAAAUCUUUAUCAUCAAUUUCAAAUUCUAGAUUUUUUCUCUGUCUAUCAAAGUAACUUUUCUGCCUGUCUUGAGCGAUCUUUAAUAGCCUUGGAUGACCUUGAUCUUGUCAUUAAUCACAUCAAUCAGAUCUACAUUAAACAAUUUCCUCUCACCCACUUCAUCCCAACAGAGUGGAGUUCAACACUUUCUCCCAUACAGAGCCUCAUAUGGUGCCAUCCUAAUACUAGAUUGAAAACUAUUGUUAUAUGCAAAUUCCACCAACGGCAAGUGUCUAUCCCAACUGCCCGUAAAGUCAAUGACAUAAGCUCGUAGCAUAUCCUUCAAAGUCUUAUGGUCAUUUCAGACUAACCAUCUGUCUGUGGAUGAAAGGCAGUACUAAACCUCAAAUUAGUUUCGAGAGCUUCUUGGAAUUUUUGCCAAAAUUGAGAAGUGAAUCGGGGGUCUCGAUCUGACACGAUAGAAACUGGAACUCCAUGUAACCUCAUUAUCUCAUCUAUAUAAAGCUUAGCCAGCUUCUCAAUGGAAUACGUGCUAUGGAUAGCCAAGAAAUGGGCAAACUUAGUCAAUCUAUCCACAAUCACCCAUAUAGCAUCCUUCCCACUCUGCGUCCGCGGCAAACCCAAUACAAAGUCCAUAGUCACGUGUUCCCACUUCCAUUCUGAAAUAGGUAAAGGCUGAAGAGUACCCGAUGGUUUCUAAUGUUCCGCCUUGAUGUGUUGGCAUGUGAGACAUUUCACUACAAACUCUGCUACGUCUCGUUUCAUACCCGGCCACCAAUAACUUUCCUUGAUAGUUCUGUACAUUUUGGUGCUUCCGGGAUGUAAAGCAUAGGCAGAAGAAUGAGCUUCCUCCAAAAUAGCUCGUCUCAACUGAUCAUCCUUAGGGACACAAACCCGGUUCCUAAGCAUUAAGAUACCAUCAUCACCAAGUCUGAACUCAUUAGUCUCUCCAUCUCGCAACUUUUGAACUUCUCGUUUCAACUCAUCAUCAGACUUCAGCAAUUCUCUUAUUUGAUUGAACAAUGAAGGUCUCACAACGAAACUAGCAAGUAGGGUUCCAUCCUCACCAUUUCUUAAUUAGAUUCCUAAAGAUUUUAUCUCAAGUAAUAUCGAAAAAUAAGAACUCCGAAGUGUUGCUAAUGAAGAUGAGGAUUUAUGACUUAAAGCAUCUACUACAACAUUUGCCUUCCCAAGGUGAUAAUCAAUCACUAAGUCGUAAUCCUUAGUCAACUCUAACCAUCGUCUCUGUCUCAAGUUAAGCUCUUUCUAGGUGAGCAAGUAUUUCAAACUCUUAUAGUCGGUAAAAAUCCGACAACACUCACCAUAUAAGUAAUGCCUCUAAAUUUUCAAUACAAAGACUAAUGCUGCUAACUCUAAAUCAUGGGUAGGGUAAUUCUUCUCAUGCUUCUUCAACUGUCGGGAAGCAUAAGCUAUCACUUUCUCAUCUUGCAUUAACACGCACCCUAAUCCCAAUUUAAAGGCAUCACUGUACACUACAAAUUCUUUUCCAUUAACAGAAAGUGUCAAAACGAGAGCGGAGGUUAACUGAUUCUUCAACUCCUGAAAUCGACUCUCACAGACAUCAUCCCACUCGAACUUAACUCCUUUACGAGUCAAACAAAUCAAAGGAGCAGCUAUCAAUGAGAAUCCCUGAACAAACCUCCUAUAAUAACCGACUAAGCCAAGGAAACUCCGAAUCUCUGUUACCGUUUUCGGUUGCUCCCAUUGUAAAAUUGUCUCAAUCUUCUUGGGAUUGACAUAAAUUCUAGCUCCAAACACAACAUGUCUCAAGAAAACCACUUCCUUCAACCAAAACUCACAUUUAGGAAACUUGGUAUAGAGUUGUUUUUUGCGUAAAGUUUGCAGCACAAUGCGCAAAUGGGAAGCAUGUUCGUUGUCAUUCUUCGAAUAGACCAGAAUGUCAUCUAUGAAUACUAUCACGAACUUAUCUAAGUAUGGAUGGAACACCCUAUUCAUAAGAUCCACAAAAGCUGCUGAGGUAUUAGUCAGACCAAACGGCAUAACCAAAAACUCAUAAUGCCCAUAACGCGUCCUGAAAGCAGUUUUGGGUACAUCCUGCUCCUUAAUCUUCAACUGAUAAUACCCAAACCUCAAAUCAAUCUUAGAAAACACCAUAGCACCUCGUAACUGAUCAAAAAGAUCAUCGAUCCGUGAUAGAGGGUAUUUAUUCUUGAUGGUCACUCGGUUCAGCUGACGAUAAUCGAUACAUAACCGAAGAGUGCCAUCCUUCUUCUUUACAAAUAGGACUGGUGCUCCCCAAAGAGAAGUGCUAGGGCAAAUAAAACCCUUAUCUACCAAAUCUUGCAACUAGACUUUCAGUUCCUUCAACUCCACUGGAGCCAUUCGAUACGGAGGAAGGGAAAUAGGUGUAGUACUCGGGAGUAGAUCAGAAUUUUGAAGUACAACUUCUUUCCAAAAACAAUCCACGUUCGCCCGAUGUGCAGUUAAUCAGUCCAUACCCAAUAUUAAAUCGAAAUCCUGGAUCUCUAGAGGAAUUAAAUCACCUCUAAAUUCUUCCUCACCAACCAUUACCCCACAGUCUCUAUAACAAGUGUUUCUAACUAGCUUUUCUCCUAAAGAGGUGUGAACUACAAUUUCUUCCUCUAAUGGUGACAGGUUUCUAUCAAAAAAUGAUGCAAAUGUCGUGCUCACAUAAGACCUGUCCGAGCCAGAAUCUAUUAAGACAUAUGCAUCUUUAUCAAAUAAAAACAUAGUAUCUGUCACUUCAUUGGGUCGAACCCGUGCCUCAUCCUCCGUCACAGCAAAAACUCUUGUCGAAGAACGAGUCUAUGGUCUAGAGGGUGGAUGUGUCAGGGCGUUACUCUCCACAUCGGACCGUAUGGCUACUCUCUGUCUCAGUGGUAACCCAGAAGAAUCUCUCCUUUGCAUAUCUGUGUGAGCUGGUGGAGAUAGAGUAGCUAUAGUAGCUUGUCCAAACCGUGGGCAAGUACUCCUAAUAUGACCCGGUUGACCACAAUGAAAACAUCGUACAGGCUCCCUACACAGCCCAACAUGAUAUUUCUCACAAUUUCUGCGUCUAUUAGAACCUCCAAAACUCUUCGUAGGAAUAGUUAUCACAAAUCUGCUGAAUCUCAGAGGCCUCUGCUGAGGCUGUGGAAAUGGGGGCGGGAAGAUGCUACGGAAGCAGAGGUAAUACUCCUUGAAGCACAUAAAUCCUUGCCUUUUCUAGGUGGCUGACUGGAUGAUGUAUUUGGAUUCCUUCUCUUAGCAAACUCAACCUGAAUCCUCCUAUUCUCAGUCGCAAGCUUCUCAGCCCGUAGAGCCAUCUACACAACCUCUUUAUACUACUCCUUACUUGUCACUGUCAUGCACUCUCUAAUUUCAUUUCGGAGCCCUUCCUCGAAGUAGUUAGCCUGAUCCUACUCGAUUUUCACCAGAUCAGGCAAAUAAGACAUUAGCUCGUUAAAACGAGCCUCAUACUUCUCUAUUGUUAAAUUUCCCUGUUUCAGACUUAAGAACUCUCUCUUCUUUUCCUUUUGAUGAAAAUAAGUGUAAUAUUGGCCAUCGAACUCCCUUAGAAAAUCUGACCAAGUCAAAGGAGUAGUAGAACAAGAUUUUACCGAAUUCCACCAAGUACGGGCCCUCUUUUCAAGUAGUCUUAUGGCCACCAUCAAUUUCAUGUCAUCAUCCAAUUUCAUAUCCGUAAGUGUGUCUGAUACCUAAAUGAUCCAGUCUUUAGCUGCGGUUGCAUCCAGAUCACCCGUAAAAGAAAUGCAACCCAACUGCCUAGCCUCCUUAAGUUUCUUAGAAAUGGAUACAUCAGGUACCUGUGGUGGAACAGGAGGUGGUGGUGGUGGCACUGAAUGAGCGACCGGAGGAAUAGCAGAAGAGCUUGACCAGGCUGAGCCUGGCCAGUAAUAGCAGUGAGGAAAGUUACCAAUGCCUGAACUACCUCAGAAGACAUGGCAGGAAUACCAGUAGGUGGUGGAGGAUGUGGAGGAUGUGGAGGAGUCUCGGUUUGCUCAGCAGCAGGUGUUGCCCGAAAAGUGGAUGCAGUCGAUUCCCCCUCUACAGUAUCUGGCUGACGAUGUUGAGAACGACCUCUUCCCCUCCCAGCCGAUCUGGUGAGAGUUGGGUGUUCACGUCGAUGAGGCAUAAUGAUCUAUAAGAAGAGACAGAAUGAAUUUAGACAACUUUAGGUUCUAUAUGCAAUUGUAUGCAUUCAACUCAAUCUAAUCUAACUUAACUUAGGGCCACAUUGACAUUGUAAUUUUUAAAACAACUUUAAAACCAAAAGAUCUAAUACCAAUCAAAUUGUCAUGACCUAGUACUCUCCUCGAGCCCGUGAAAAUAGUAGUAAUGUCCCGAUAGACAUUCAUUACCCUGAAUGCCAAUCGAAACCUCGCAAGGCUUAAUAUCAGUUUUCGCAUCUCCCCUGUGAGCAAUAAUUACUAAAUAUCAUAUUUUAAAAGAUUAUAAGCUAUUUCCAAAUCAAAACAAUAAUAAAAAAAAUUUUCUGUCUCACAAGGGCAUUUUGGUCAUUUUUCUCAAAAAUUUUGAAACCUACUAAAAAUAUAACAUAUAGGGGAAAAUACACAUUUCAUAACUAAAAACAAGUUUUUAUGUCUAAAACAUUCAUUUAGGGUGAAAUUGUAGCUAAUAGAAUAAAAUAAAAAUAUUAAAUAAAAUAUUCUAUUUUCUUAUAAAAUAAUAUUAAUAGAACUCUGCGUAAAUAAUUUUUUUAGCGUAAAAGCAAAAUAAAUCCAUACAUACAGUAACACAGAUAACCAGAGUAUGUAACUUAAUUUACAAUGACAUGUAGGCCCCCGAAUGACCAAAGGUAACAAAAGCUGUGGACUUAUAAUUUCAAAGGAGGCAAGUCCAAUAAUAACCCUCGAUGUAAUCAACUAUUUAUGGAAUGUCUUGAUCCUAGAAUGAGUGGAAAGGAGGGUGGUGAGUUUAUAUAAACUCAGUGAGUAAACAAACAGCAUCUAAAAUAUCUAAAAUCGAGUAAAUGGAGACAACUUAAAAUAGUUCAUCGUACUAUGAUUCAUAACGUUUCAAACUCAUUUCAACUAAAUAAAAUAAUUUCAUUUCACUCAAAUAAUCAACAUGGCUUAUGAAUUUCUUAAAAAUUUGGCUCGUACCAAAACUCAUUCUCGGGGAUACCUUGGUUGGGGCAUCAAACCGAGUCCACCAAGGCUAUUAAAGAAAAGUUUAUAUACGCAUAAAACACAGUUUUACGUUUAAAAGCAUAGUCGUUCCUUGGCAUUGGCUGAGUUCACCUUCACGUGGUGGUUUAGCGUGUAGUGAACUCUAAAGCUUUACCUUAGGAGAUACCCUCCGCGCCUCUCGUACCAAGGUAAAAUAUAACUGGGUUUACCGUGCUCCUCUCUAAUAGGUUGGUCCACAAAAACCCACCACUGCAGUGACUAAUCAAUAUCCCACCAAAUCAAUAAAAGUUUCGACAGCAUGACAAGGCAAUUAUAUUACUACCCAGCCUGUUAAGACAAAACAAACAGUUCAUACAAUUUCAACACAAUUUCCAAUUCAGCCAUUCAUGCCAAUAUCACCAUAAGCCAUUCAAUUCAAACCAUAAAUUUACAACACAAUCAAACAGUCUCCAAUUACUCAAUUUUUAAAAUCAUCAUUCAAUUUUAAAAUGAUUUAUAAACCUCAUUUCAUUUAAUCACAUUUUACUUAUAAAAUAUAAGGAUUUACCAUUUAAACUCAUUUUUCUAUAAAAUCACAAAAACGAAUAAAAACUACUUUAGAUAAUUAAGACAAUAAUAAAGUUACUCACAAUAUCGGGAGUCGAAGUACCCCUACUCCCAAUCUUCGGGUAUAAUAUCCUUACCCUUAUCCGAAGUUUCACCACCUAAACAUAAUGCACAACAAGCAAUUUACUAUAUUUGUACUAAACCGUUAUAAAACUAAUUUAGGCUCUAUAUGAAUGCAUGAAAUGGGAUGCGAAAUGUUCGGUUUAUUAUCUAAAUAUUGUGUUUCUACGUAGCUUCAAUUAUGUAUCGAAAUAAAAUGGUAUUGGCCUAAUUCGAUCUAUACACCGGUUAAUUGGCCAAUACAUCCAAUUCAACUCCAAUUAACUUGAUUCCACUUCCAACACUCCAAGUCAUCAAUUACAAGUUAAAUAAUAUGUAAUAUCACAAAAGUCCAUCAUCAAUAUCUUCCUUGUAAAAUUCGGCCAUUGAAGGUUUAGUGUAGAACAUGUAAUUUUUCAUGCUUGAUUUUUACACCUUAUAUCAUAAAACAACUAAAAACACCUAAAUAGCAUGAAAUUCAUCAAAGUCCAUUAUCCAAUUUCUCUCUUGAAAAUUUCAGCCAAUGACUGUGGGUGAGGGGCAUGAAAUUUCUUGCUUGUUUUUCAUGCUAAACAUCACCAAACAACUAAAAACAACUAAAUACCUUGAAAUCUAACCAAAUAAAUCAUCAAAUCUUCUCUCCCUAAAUUCGGUCAGCCAUGAAUCCUUCAUGAGAUCUUGAAUUUUAACCAUGGUAAUUGAAAAAGAAUGCAUAGGAAAGGUAGAUCACAAGCUAGAAUUAAGAAAUUUUACCUUUACUUGCUUAAUUCCUUGAAAUCCAAUGAAUUUUCUCUUGAUUUUCUUCUCUAGGGUUUGUUCUAUGCUUUUUCCCUUUUGUUCUUGCCUUGGCCGGC
rnacentral:lncRNA from 1 species